ensembl:snoRNA
GGAGUAUGCUCAAAGGAGGUGGCUUAAAGAAUAGCUCCUCUGCCUACAACACACCCCACAGGAAAUGUAGGGUCAUUGUGAUGAGGAGGCACAAAGCUUUGAGCAAAUGUCAUCUGGAU